GAAGGUGGCCUGUGAGGGUUGCUGGAGGUAUCAGAAGUGCGAAUGCUGACAUAAGUAACGAUAAAGCGGGUGAAAAGCCCGCUCGCCGGAAGACCAAGGGUUCCUGUCCAACGUUAAUCGGGGCAGGGUGAGUCGACCCCUAAGGCGAGGCCGAAAGGCGUAGUCGAUGGGAAACGGGUUAAUAUUCCCGUACUUGGUGUUACUGCGAAGGGGGGACGGAGAAGGCUAUGUUGGCCGGGCGACGGUUGUCCCGGUUUAAGCGUGUAGGCUGGUUUUCCAGGCAAAUCCGGUUCACUUUAAAACUGAGGCGUGAUGACGAGGCACUACGGUGCUGAAGCAACAAAUGCCCUGCUUCCAGGAAAAGCCUCUAAGCAUCAGGUAACAUCAAAUCGUACCCCAAACCGACACAGGUGGUCAGGUAGAGAAUACCAAGGCGCUUGAGAGAACUCGGGUGAAGGAACUAGGCAAAAUGGUGCCGUAACUUCGGGAGAAGGCACGCUGACACGUAGGUGAAGUGAUUUACUCAUGGAGCUGAAGUCAGUCGAAGAUACCAGCUGGCUGCAACUGUUUAUUAAAAACACAGCACUGUGCAAACACGAAAGUGGACGUAUACGGUGUGACGCCUGCCCGGUGCCGGAAGGUUAAUUGAUGGGGUCAGCGCAAGCGAAGCUCCUGAUCGAAGCCCCGGUAAACGGCGGCCGUAACUAUAACGGUCCUAAGGUAGCGAAAUUCCUUGUCGGGUAAGUUCCGACCUGCACGAAUGGCGUAAUGAUGGCCAGGCUGUCUCCACCCGAGACUCAGUGAAAUUGAACUCGCUGUGAAGAUGCAGUGUACCCGCGGCAAGACGGAAAGACCCCGUGAACCUUUACUAUAGCUUGACACUGAACAUUGAGCCUUGAUGUGUAGGAUAGGUGGGAGGCUUUGAAGUGUGGACGCCAGUCUGCAUGGAGCCGACCUUGAAAUACCACCCUUUAAUGUUUGAUGUUCUAACGUGGACCCGUGAUCCGGGUUGCGGACAGUGUCUGGUGGGUAGUUUGACUGGGGCGGUCUCCUCCUAAAGAGUAACGGAGGAGCACGAAGGUUGGCUAAUCCUGGUCGGACAUCAGGAGGUUAGUGCAAUGGCAUAAGCCAGCUUGACUGCGAGCGUGACGGCGCGAGCAGGUGCGAAAGCAGGUCAUAGUGAUCCGGUGGUUCUGAAUGGAAGGGCCAUCGCUCAACGGAUAAAAGGUACUCCGGGGAUAACAGGCUGAUACCGCCCAAGAGUUCAUAUCGACGGCGGUGUUUGGCACCUCGAUGUCGGCUCAUCACAUCCUGGGGCUGAAGUAGGUCCCAAGGGUAUGGCUGUUCGCCAUUUAAAGUGGUACGCGAGCUGGGUUUAGAACGUCGUGAGACAGUUCGGUCCCUAUCUGCCGUGGGCGCUGGAGAACUGAGGGGGGCUGCUCCUAGUACGAGAGGACCGGAGUGGACGCAUCACUGGUGUUCGGGUUGUCAUGCCAAUGGCACUGCCCGGUAGCUAAAUGCGGAAGAGAUAAGUGCUGAAAGCAUCUAAGCACGAAACUUGCCCCGAGAUGAGUUCUCCCUGAGACUUAGAGUCUCCUGAAGGAACGUUGAAGACGACGACGUUGAUAGGCCGGGUGUGUAAGCGCAGCGAUGCGUUGAGCUAACCGGUACUAAUGAACCGUGAGGCUUAACCUUACAACGCCGAAG
rnacentral:rRNA from 1 species